rnacentral:rRNA from 1 species
UACGAAGGGUGCAAGCGUUAUUCGGAUUCACUGGGUUUAAAGGGUGCGUAGGCGGCGAGGUAAGUCGGAUGUGAAAUCUCAGGGCUCAACCCUGAAACUGCAUUCGAUACUGCCUUGCUUGAGGACUCGAGAGGAGAUUGGAAUUCACGGUGUAGCAGUGAAAUGCGUAGAUAUCGGGAGGAAGACCAGUGGCGAAGGCGGAUCUCUGGAGAGUUCCUGACGCUGAGGCACGAAGGCCAGGGGAGCAAACGGG